GGUGUGACACCAACUGGCAUUCAGAGAGGGAGAGGAGAGAGGAGGAUCAGGGGCAAAAGAAGGACAAGAAAGAGGGACACAAAUUAAAGGUGACGUCACAGCAGUUGGCACAGUGGGAGGCGUCAGGAUAGGAAAUCGAUCUGGCAGGACGUGUUUCAUGUUUGCCCCUAUUCUGUCUCUCUCUGUGUUUGUGUGUGGGUGUAUGGUGGGUGUGGCCUCCUGGUUUACCUUUCCCACCAUUCAACCCGAGCACCUGCAGCUGAUCUGCUAAUCAACUCUACAGUCUAUAGCAGUAUAAAGCCCCGGUUCAUCUCUCCAGACUCUGCCAGAUCAUUCAGUCACCAAUGCGGUUCACCAAGCCAGCUUCCAGUAUACCUGCCACAUCAACCUCAUCCUUGUCUGCUCUGCCUUGCCUUAAGCUCCUCUGCCUGCUUCAGUCCUUCACCCUGCACCACUGCCUGCUCCGCUCUGCCAUUCCCAACCCCCUUUGCCAUAUCCAAACCCAAAGAACACUCAACUAAGCCAUCAGAUCUGUCUACAAUUCAAGCUACAAUAAACUGCCCUUGAGCCA